AUAGAACAUUGAAACACCGGUUCUCGUACGAUCACCGAAAUUAAGCAACGCCAAAACUGGUCAGUACCUAGGUGGGUGACCACUUGGGAAUACCGAGUGUUGUAA